AUGCGUUGGGUAAUUUGCCUUGAGGGUGGGGGAUAACAGUUGGAAACGACUGCUAAUACCGCAUAAUGGCUACGGCUCGAAAGGGGGCGCUUGCGCUCUCGCCUUUAGAGAACGCCCAAGUGAGAUUAGCUAGUUGGGUGGGGUAAAGGCUCACCAAGGCGACGAUCUCUAGCUGGUUUGAGAGGAUGAUCAGCCACACUGGAACUGAGACACGGUCCAGACUCCUACGGGAGCAGCAGUGGGGAAUAUUGCACAAUGGGGGAAACCCUGAUGCAGCCAUGCCGCGUGUGUGAAGAAGGC
rnacentral:rRNA from 1 species